rnacentral:rRNA from 1 species
UGCCGCGUGAGUGAUGAAGGCCUUCGGGUUGUAAAGCUCUUUUACUGGGGAUGAUACUGACGGUCCCAACAGAAUAGGCCCCGGCUAACUCCCUGCCAACAGCCGCGGUAAUACUAAGGGGGCUAGCGUUGUUCGGAAUUACUGGGCGUAAAGCGCGCGUAAGCGGAUCUUUAUAUCAGGGGUGAAAUCCCGUGGCUCAACCCCGGAACUGCCUUUGAUACUGAACCUCUGAAGUGCAUUAGAGGUGAGUGGAAUUCCGAGUGUAGAAGUGAAAUUCAAUUAUAUGUGUAAGAACACCAUGGGCAAAUGCGGCUCAGUGCACCGGUGCUGACGCUGACUUCCUGAACCGUGACUGACAAUCAGGAUUAAAUACCCGGGUAGUCCACGCGAUAAACUAUGAUGGUUAUCCACGCCGUAAUUUAUGACCACUGGGCGUUGCUAACUCAUUAACUUUUCCGCCUGGGGAGUACGGUCAGUUGAUUAACAGUCGAA